rnacentral:tRNA from 1 species
GAGGUUAUAGCUCAGUGGUAGAGUAUGUGCUUAGUAUGCACAAGGUCCUGGGUUCAAUCCCCAGUACCCUCA